AACGCAAACUUGCACCCAUCCCGAUCCUUGUCUGUGGCCCUGUUUUCUAUUCCCGACCAGAAAACCACCUCCUCAUCACUCCCAAAGGUGGGGCCAAUCACGUGGGCAUGAGCCGACUAUGUCGCCCCUCUGCCUGGAAAAGCCAUGACAGCUAUUUUUUUUUUCCUCCUUUGCCCAAAACACUAUCUCGGCUAUAGACAGCGGCAGGGUUUUGACAGCACCCUCAGAGAACAAUCUAGAUGGACGUCAGCCUCAGCCUUGGGGUGUCUUUCUCCCAGAAACCUCCCUCCUCCUCCCGGCUGCUUGUGGCCACAGCUCAGGGCCUCCCAUUCGUCUGUCCCUCUUGGAUCCAGACUCUUCAUCUCAUGAGGUUUCGUCCUGUACCACCAGAUGCACCGAUUCUCGUGUUAUGACGUGGACACACUUUUUCUCCCUACUUGGUGAUGUGUAUGUUUGGGUCGUUGUCCCAAAGGCUAGAAUAUAAUAACAAGCCAGAAGCGGCUUUCAUUUCUGCAGUUCUUCCUGGUUAAUUGGAUGGAAAGGGAGAAGCUGUUAAUUUCCCAGGAAGAGUGCGUCCAGAAGGGAGUUCCCUGGUGGUCUAGGGGUUCAGACUCGGUACUUUCACAUCUGUGGCCCAUAUUCAAUCCCUGGCCUGGGAAUGGAGAUCCCACGUCAGUUCUCUGCGUGCCACAGGAAAAAAAAAAUAAAUCCAAAAAUGAACACAUGAAAAAAAACCCUCUAAACAAAUAUAAGAUUGAUGGUUUUAGAUUGAAUGAUAGUUUUGAGAUUUUAAUGUUUUAAUAUCCGAUGAGGUUUAACUAACUUUUCGUCUGCUUUCACUGAGAUGUCCAGCAGAGUCAAGUGACUUUCCUCCCGAAAUGACGUCCACACUAAAUGUAGUGAAGCUCCGUCAUCUCCUGUAGAAACAGAGGAGAAAAAAUUUUUCCUUGUGAUAAGAGCUCUUACGAUUUAAAAAAAACAUAUUUUCCCAAUAGAAUAUCUUUUCUACUGUACGGCACGGUGACCCAGUUAUCCAUACAUGUACCCACUCUCAUUUCUCCCAUGCUUACGCUCCAUCAUAAAUGACGAGACAUAGUUCUCAGUGCUCCACAGCAGGACCUCAUUGCUCAUCCAUUCCAAAGGCAAUAGUUUGCAUCCAAGAACCCCAAGUUCCCCAAACACCCCACCGGGCAACCACAAGUCUGUUCUCCAAGUCCACGAUUUUCUUGUCUGUGGAAAGGUCCAAUUGUGCCAUAUAGUAGAUAUCAGAUAUGUGAUGUCAUAUGGUAUUUCGUUGUCUUUCUGACUUCACUCUGGAUGAGUCUCUAGUUCCAUCCAUGUUGCUGCAAAUGGCAUAGUUUUUUCAUUUUUAUGGCUGAGUAGUAUUCCAUUGAGUAUAUAUACCACAUCUUCCUAAUUCAAUCAUGUGUUGAUGGACAUUUGGGUUGCUUGCAUGUCUUGGCUAUUGGGAAUAGAGCCUCAAUGAACAUGCAGGUGCAGGUGUGUUUUUCAAGGACAGUUUUGUCCAGAUAAAUGCCCAAGAGGGGGACUGCUGGGUUGUUCUAUGUAUAGUUUUCUAAGGUACCUCCAUACUGUUACUCUCCACAGUGGUUGUACCAGCUUCCAUUCCCACCGGCAGUGCAGGAGGGGUCCCUUUUGUCCACACCCCCUCCAGCACUUGCUAUUUGUGGACGUAUGAAUGACGGCCAUUCUGACUGGUGCGAGGUGGUAUCUCGUGGUCGUGUUGGUUGGCGUUUCUCUACUCAUCAGGGAUGUGGAGGGUUUUUUCAUGUGCUUGUUGGCCAUCUGUCUGUCUUCCCUGGAGAAAUGUCUAUUGCGGUCUCUUGCCCGUUUUUCCAUUGGGUGGUUGGCUUUUUUGCUGUUGUAUAAGGUGUUUGUGUAUUGUAGAGAUUGUGCUCUUGCCAGUUGCAUCAUUUGAAAGGAUUUUCUCCCAUUGUGUAAGGUUUCUUUUUAGUUUUCUUUGCUGUGCAAGAUCUUGUCCGUUUGAUGAGGUCCCAUUGGUUUAUUUCAACUUUUAUGUCUGUUUCUUUGGGAGACCUGUGAAAACAUUUGUAAGGUUGAUGUCAGAGAAUGCUUUGCCUGUGUUCUCUUCCAGGAAUUGGGCGGUGUCUUGUCUUGUCUUUAAGUGUUUCAUCCAUGUUGAGCUUCUUGUUCGUGGCGUGAGGGUGGGUUCUAGUUUGGUUGAUUUGCACGUAGCUGUCCCGGUUUCCCAACAAUGUUUGCUGAAAAGCCUGUCUUUUUCCCAUUUUAUAUUCUUGCCUCAUUUGUCAAACCCAUUGACCUUAGGUGUCUGGGUUUAAUUCUGUGGUUUUGUUAAUUCGGUGUGUCGUGUGUGGGUGUUAAUGGCAUUGAUCAUGUACAUUUUGCCCAGGACUAGUUUAUUUCAUACCUGAAAGCUGGUACCUUCUCCCCUCCAGCCUCUGGGAACCACAGAUCUCAUCUCUUUCACUGUGAGGGUGUUUUUGGAACAAAAUUAACCUUCAGCACUUGUUUUGUUCCUACUACACAACAUGGUGACUUGAGAGUACUUUUUCUUUUUCUUUUUUUUUUUUUGCUUUUUUGCAGCCACACCUGCAGCAUAUGGAGGUUGCCAGACGAGGGGUCAAAUGAAAGUCACAGCUGCCAGUCCACACCACAGCCACCCCAGAUCCCACCACAUGUGUGACCAACACCAAAGCUCACGGCAACGCCAGAUCCUUAACCCCCUGAGUGAGGCCAGGGAUCAAACCCACAACCUCAUGGAUCCUAGUCAGGUUCCUUAUCACUGAGCCACGAGGGGAACUCCCCCAUCUCAUUUGCUACGAGUUGGUGUCUGGAAUAGAACUGGCCAUCUGCACUGUUUUAGUGCCUGUUACACAGCAGAGCGACUCCCUAUUUCUACACACACCCGAUCCCUCCGUUUGCCUUCAGGCCCUCAGGCCUCCUGUUGGCUCUGAAAAGUCACACGAGUCUGCAGAGCUGCAAAGAAUAUAUUCCCCCCGUUUUCUUCCAGUUUUGAGGUAGAAGACACACAGCACCGGGUUAGCCUCACGAGUCCAGCAUGGCCAUGUGACUUACAUCGUGAGAUGACGGCUAGAACAAUUUUAGGGAACAUCUAUCAUUUCCUGGAGAAACCCAAUUCAACACUG
rnacentral:lncRNA from 1 species